rnacentral:rRNA from 1 species
CAUGAAGCCGGAAUUGCUAGUAAUGGCAGGUCAGCAUACUGCCGUGAAUACGUUCCCGGGCCUUGUACACACCGCCCGUCACACCAUGAGAGUUGGGAAUACCCGAAGCCUGUGAGCUAACUCUUAGAGGCAGCAGUCGAAGGUAGAAUCAAUGAUUGGGGUGAAGUCGUAACAAGGUACC